rnacentral:pre_miRNA from 1 species
UUCCAACUCCCUCCGUCCCAAAAUUUUUGUCUUAGAUUUGUCUAGAUACGGAUGUAUCAGAUCCGUAUCUAGACCAAUCUAAGACAAGAAUUUUGUGAUAGAGGGAGUAUAAU